CUACGGGGUGCAGCAGGUGCGAAACCUUUACACUGUACGAAAGUACGAUAAGGGAAUCCCAAGUGCUCAUGCUUUGCAUGGGCUUUUGCCAAGAGUAAAUAUCUUGGCGAAUAAGUGGUGGGCAAGACGGGUGCCAGCCGCCGCGGUAACACCCGCGCCACAAGUGGGGACCUCGUUUAUUGGGCCUAAAGCGUCCGUAGCUGGUUUGGUAAAUCUUCUGUGAAAUCGUUGGGCUUAACUUAACGGCGUGCAGGAGACACUACCAGACUUGGAACCGGGAGGAGUUAGGAGUAUUCUGGGGGGAGCGGUAAAAUGCUAUAAUCCUCGGAAGACUACCUGUGGCGAAGGCGCCUAACCAGAACGGAUUCGACAGUGAGGGACGAAAGCUAGGGGAGCGAACCGGAUUAGAUACCCGCGUAGUC
rnacentral:rRNA from 1 species